GAUGAACGCUGGCGGCGUGCCUAAUACAUGCAAGUCGAGCGAAUGGAUUAAGAGCUUGCUCUUAUGAAGUUAGCGGCGGACGGGUGAGUAACACGUGGGCAACCUGCCCAUAAGACUGGGAUAACUCCGGGAAACGGGGGCUAAUACCGGAGAACAGUUUGAACCGCAUGCUUCGAAAUUGACAGGCGGCUUCGGCUGUCACUUAUGCAUGGACCCGCGUCGCAUUAGCUAGUGGGUGAGGUAACGGCUCACCAAGGCAACGAUGCGUAGCCGACCUGAGAGGGUGAUCGGCCACACUGGGACUAAGACACGGCCCAGACUCCUACGGGAGGCAGCAGUAGGGAAUCUUCCGCAAUGGACGAAAGUCUGACGGAGCAACGCCGCGUGAGUGAUGAAGGCUUUCGGGUCGUAAAACUCUGUUGUUAGGGAAGAACAAGUGCUAGUUGAAUAAGCUGGCACCUUGACGGUACCUAACCAGAAAGCCACGGCUAACUACGUGCCAGCCGCCGCAGUAA
rnacentral:rRNA from 1 species